rnacentral:rRNA from 1 species
AUUGAACGCUGGCGGCAUGCCUUACACAUGCAAGUCGAACGGCAGCGGACCUUCGGGUGCCGGCGAGUGGCGAACGGGUGAGUAAUAUAUCGGAACGUACCUUUCAGUGGGGGAUAACGUAGCGAAAGUUACGCUAAUACCGCAUAUUCUGUGAGCAGGAAAGCAGGGGAUCGCAAGACCUUGCGCUGAUUGAGCGGCCGAUAUCAGAUUAGCUAGUUGGUGAGGUAAAGGCCCACCAAGGCGACGAUCUGUAGCGGGUCUGAGAGGAUGAUCCGCCACACUGGAACUGAGACACGGUCCAGACUCCUACGGGAGGCAGCAGUGGGGAAUUUUGGACAAUGGGCGCAAGCCUGAUCCAGCCAUGCCGCGUGAGUGAAGAAGGCCUGG